rnacentral:rRNA from 1 species
AAAUUGAAGAGUUUGAUCAUGGCUCAGAUUGAACGCUGGCGGCAGGCCUAACACAUGCAAGUCGAGCGGAAACGAGUUGUCUGAACCUUCGGGGGACGAUAACGGCGUCGAGCGGCGGACGGGUGAGUAAUGCCUAGGAAAUUGCCCUGAUGUGGGGGAUAACCAUUGGAAACGAUGGCUAAUACCGCAUGA